CAGCAGCCGCGGUAAUCCGUAGGUGGCAAGCGUUGUCCGGAAUUAUUGGGCGUAAAGCGCGCGCAGGUGGUUUAAUAAGUCUGAUGUGAAAGCCCACGGCUCAACCGUGGAGGGUCAUUGGAAACUGUUAAACUUGAGUGCAGGAGAGGAAAGUGGAAUUCCAUGUGUAGCGGUGAAGUGCGCAGAGAUAUGGAGGAACACCAGUGGCGAAGGCGACUUUCUGGUCUGUAACUGACGCUGAUGUGCGAAAGCGUGGGGAUCAAACAGGAUUAGAUACCCGCGUAGUCCCUGUCUCUUAUAC
rnacentral:rRNA from 1 species